UACGUAGGGAGCAAGCGUUGUCCAGAAUCAUUGGGCGUAAAGCGCGCGUAGGCGGCCUCGUAAGUCCGUUGUGAAAGUCAAAGGCUCAACCUUUGAAAGCCGAUGGAUACUGUGAGGCUAGAGUCCGGAAGAGGCGAGUGGAAUUCCUGGUGUAGCGGUGGAAUGCGCAGAUAUCAGGAGGAACACCAAUAGCGAAGGCGCUUUCUGGUCUGUAACUGACGCUGAGGCGCGAAAGCGUGGGGAGCAAACAGG
rnacentral:rRNA from 1 species